GACGAACGCUGGCGGUGUGCUUAACACAUGCAAGUCGAACGGUAAGGCCCUUUCGGGGGUACACGAGUGGCGCACGGGUGAGUAACACGUGAGUAACCUGCCCUCAUCUCUGGGAUAACAGUCGGAAACGGUUGCUAAUACUGGAUAUGAGCUUGCAAGGCAUCUUGUGGGUUGGAAAGAUUUUUUUGGUUGGGGAUGGACUCGCGGCCUAUCAGCUUGUUGGUGAGGUAGUGGCUCACCAAGGCUUCGACGGGUAGCCGGCCUGAGAGGGCGACCGGCCACAGUGGGACGGAGAUACGGCCCAAACUCCUACGGGAGGCAGCAGUGGGGAAGAUUGCACAAUGGACGGAAGUCUGAUGCAGCAACGCCGCGUGCGGGAUGACGGCCUUCGGGUUGUAAACCGCUUUCAAUUGUGACGAAGCUUUUUGUGACGGUAGCAGUAGAAGAAGCACCGGCUAACUACGUG
rnacentral:rRNA from 1 species